rnacentral:rRNA from 1 species
AGGACGAACGCUGGCGGCGUGCUUAACACAUGCAAAUCGAGCGGAAAGGCCCUUCGGGGUACUCGAGCGGCGAACGGGUGAGUAACACGUGGGCAACCUGCCCCUAGCUCUGGGAUAACUCCGGGAAACCGGUGCUAAUACCGGAUACGACCUCAUUAGGCAUCCUUUGAGGUGGAAAGAUUUAUUGGCUAGGGAUGGGCCCGCGGCCUAUCAGCUUGUUGGUGGGGUAAUGGCCUACCAAGGCGACGACGGGUA